rnacentral:rRNA from 1 species
UACGUAGGGGGCAAGCGUUAUCCGGAUUUACUGGGUGUAAAGGGAGCGUAGACGGUUAAGCAAGUCAGAAGUGAAAGGCUGGGGCUCAACCCCGGGACUGCUUUUGAAACUGUUUAACUAGAGUGCUGGAGAGGUAAGCGGAAUUCCUAGUGUAGCGGUGAAAUGCGUAGAUAUUAGGAGGAACACCAGUGGCGAAGGCGGCUUACUGGACAGUAACUGACGUUGAGGCUCGAAAGCGUGGGGAGCAAACAGG